UUACGGGAGGCAGCAGUAGGGAAUCUUCCGCAAUGGGCGAAAGCCUGACGGAGCAACGCCGCGUGAGUGAUGAAGGUCUUCGGAUUGUAAAACUCUGUUAUUAGGGAAGAACAAAUGUGUAAGUAACUAUGCACGUCUUGACGGUACCUAAUCAGAAAGCCACGGCUAACUACGUGCCAGCAGCCGCGGUAAU
rnacentral:rRNA from 1 species